rnacentral:rRNA from 1 species
ACGACCGGCGCACGGGUGCGUAACGCGUAUACAAUCUACCUUUUACUGAGGGAUAGCCCAGAGAAAUCUGGAUUAAUACCUCAUAGUAUAUAGAGAUGGCAUCAUUUUUAUAUUAAAGGUUACGGUAAGAGAUGAGUAUGCGUCCUAUUAGCUAGUUGGUGUGGUAACGGCACACCAAGGCAACGAUAGAUAGGGGCCCUGAGAGGGGGAUCCCCCACACUGGUACUGAGACACGGACCAGACUCCUACGGGAGGCAGCA